rnacentral:misc_RNA from 1 species
GAAAUGCGAUAAGUAAUGUGAAUUGCAGAAUUCAGUGAAUCAUCGAAUCUUUGAACGCACAUUGCGCCCGCCAGUAUUCUGGCGGGCAUGCCUGUUCGAGCGUCAUUUCAACCAUCAAGCCCCCGGCUUGUGUUGGGGACCUGCGGCUGCCCGCAGGCCCUGAAAAACAGUGGCGGGCUCGCUGUCACACCGAGCGUGGUAGCAUACAUUCUCGCUCAGGGCGUGCUGCGGGUUCCGGCCGUUAAACGACCUUCAUAACCCAAGGUUGACCUCGGAUCAGGUAGGAAGACCCGCUGAACUUAAGC